UACGUAGGGGGCGAGCGUUGUCCGAAGUUACUGGGCGUAAAGCGCGCGUAGGCGGGAAAUUAAGUGAGAAGUGAAAGGCUGGGGCUCAACCUCAUGCAGUGCUUCUCAUGCUGGUUUUCUUGAGGGCGGUAGAGAAAAGUGGAAUGGCUGGUGUAGCGGUGAAAUGCGUAGAUAUCAGUCGGAACACCGGUGGCGAAGGCGGCUUUUUGGGCCGUUCCUGACGCUGAGGCGCGAAAGCCAGGGGAGCGAACGGG
rnacentral:rRNA from 1 species